rnacentral:rRNA from 1 species
GACGAACGCUGGCGGCGUGCUUAACACAUGCAAGUCGAACGGAAAGGCCCUGCUUUUGUGGGGUGCUCGAGUGGCGAACGGGUGAGUAACACGUGAGUAACCUGCCCUUGACUUUGGGAUAACUUCAGGAAACUGGGGCUAAUACCGGAUAGGAGCUCCUGCUGCAUGGGGGGGGUUGGAAAGUGUCGGCGGUUGGGGAUGGAAUCGCGGCUUAUCAGCUUGUUGGUGGGGUAGUGGCUUACCAAGGCUUUGACGGGUAGCCGGCCUGAGAGGGUGACCGGCCACAUUGGGACUGAGAUACGGCCCAGACUCCUACGGGAGGCAGCAGUGGGGAAUAUUGCACAAUGGGCGGAAGCCUGAUGCAGCAACGCCGCGUGCGGGAUGACGGCCUUCGGGUUGUAAACCGCUUUCGCCUGUGACGAAGCGUGAGUGACGGUAAUGGGUAAAGAAGCACCGGCUAACUACGUG